rnacentral:snRNA from 1 species
UCGAAGAGGUUGGGCUCU